GGACAUUGUAUGUCUGAGUUAUAGCAACUUCAUUUUUCAUGGCGAAUCAUCGAAAUUCGUCAGGCCGCCACGGACACGCCCUUCAACGAAAACUCAAGAUCUUCGCAAUUUAACAUCGCAAAGGCCUUUAGAUUAGGCAUACCAAAUUUGGUGUUGAUCUGAAUAAAUCUCUAGGAGGAGUUCGUUAAAAUACAAGGCAUGCAAAUGACAAAAAUGAUGCAAAAUUUGCUCAUAAAAUUAAAAAUAACCGACUUCCUGUUGGGUUUCGGAUAUUGCUCCAAGAGUCUUUUUUGUAGGUACUGAUGCUUUACAUAUGUGUGCCAAUUUCCGUGCAUGUACGUGAAACACAGCUCGAGGGCUGUUGAUUUUCUUACGAUAGGUGGCGCUGUCGAGCCAUUUUGCCACACCCUCUUCUGAAACCUAUAUCAGACGUAAAUUUUCACCAGGUCUGACGCGUGUGCAAAGUUUCAGGACUUUUCGAGCAUGUUUAGGCCCUCAAAAAUGCGAUUCAUUUUGGAGAAGAAGAAGAAGAAGAAGAAGAAGAAGAAGAAGAAGAAUAAACAAAGCAGAUACAAGAGGGUCCUCACACCAUCGGUGCUCGGGCCCUAAUAAUAAACAAAGCAAUUCCAAGAGGGUCCUCACACC
ensembl:lncRNA